UCAAAAAUGAAAACACAAGUCACCAGUCUAUUCAGUUUAUGUUAUGAAUAUAACAGGAUGUUCUGCACAAAUUUCAGAUGUGCUGUUUCCAAUUAAAACUCCAGUAGUUCCAAAGAUACUGCUGACAAGAUUGGCUAAUGUUGGUAACUGUAGAAGUUGGUGAUGGGUACAUCAUUCCAUUCUCUGAGUUUGAAAAUCUCAUUAACAGAAAGUUCAAAAAUAAUGAAUCUGCAUAUGAAUUUUUGCUUCUGUUUGUUUUUUGAAUGUGUAAGAUGAUGG
rnacentral:lncRNA from 1 species